UACGUAGGGUCCGAGCGUUGUCCGGAAUUACUGGGCGUAAAGAGCUCGUAGGUGGUUUGUCGCGUUGUUCGUGAAAACUCACAGCUUAACUGUGGGCGUGCGGGCGAUACGGGCAGACUUGAGUACUGCAGGGGAGACUGGAAUUCCUGGUGUAGCGGUGGAAUGCGCAGAUAUCAGGAGGAACACCGGUGGCGAAGGCGGGUCUCUGGGCAGUAACUGACGCUCAGGCACGAAAGCAUGGGGAGCAAAAGGG
rnacentral:rRNA from 1 species